rnacentral:lncRNA from 1 species
GCCACAACGAGAUCCGGAGCUCCUCCUCCGAUGAGAACAGCCAAGUUCAUCAGGAAAGCCAUCAUGACAAACUCCUCCAGAAAAACCAACAGCUCCCUAUAGCUGAGCAGCUCCUCACCAGCUUCCAACAGGCUCCCAACAGCCUCUCUUCAGCUUCUUUCAUUCUGCCUCUCAUGCUGCCAGCAACAACACUCAGUCUCCUGCAUGACAUACCCAUGAAAAGAGACCUGCUCCCUCCUGAAGCAUCUGUUGGCUUUGUAUGGAAUGCAAGAAGAGUGCUUUCAUGAAAUGGGGAUGGGACUGGAAGUGUCUUGUUAACCCCUCAGAAGAGCUCUACUCAGUCAUUCUGUAACUUCAAGCAUAUUAUUUACCUCUCCAAGGUUCAAGUUUCUAAUUAGUAAAAUGGUGAUACUAAUGGGAAUAAUUUUACAGCAAUUCUAUUUCAUAGGAUUAAAUUAAAUGAAAU